rnacentral:rRNA from 1 species
AUCAUUAAAAUUUCUGCCCUAUCAACUUUCGAUGGUUAGGUCGUGGCUAACCAUGGUUGUAACGGGUACGGGGAAUUAGGGUUUGAUUCCGGAGAGGGAGCCUGAGAAACGGCUGCCACUUCCAAGGAAGGCAGCAGGCGCGCAAAUUACCCAAUCCCAAUUCGGGGAGGUAGUGACAAUAAAUAACGAUGCUGGACAUGUAUAAUGCCUAGCAAUCGGAAUGAGAGCAGUUUAAACCACUCAACGAGUAGCAAUUGGAGGGCAAGUCUGGUGCCAGCAGCCGCGGUAAUUCCAGCUCCAAUAGCGUAUAUUAAAUUUGUUGCAGUUAAAAAGCUCGUAGUUGCAUUUUGGGAGUGAGAGCCUCUGGUCCGCCGGAAUGGUGUGCACCGGGGCGCCGCUUCUUUCCUUCGCAUUGCGGUGCUCGGGCAUUCACUUGUCAGGGCGCAAAGCCGUAUGCGAUCGUUUACUUUGAAAAAAGGAGAGUGUUCAAAGCAGGCAAAAUUUUAGCCGUUGAAUCUUCUAGCAUGGGAUAAUCAAAUAGGACUUGUUUCUUAUUUUGUUGGUUUUCAAGAAAUAAGUAAUGAUUAACAGGGAUAGUUGGGGGUCUUAGUAUUUUCGAGUCAGAGGUGAAAUUCUUGGAUUUCGGAAAGACUAACUUCUGCGAAAGCAUUGACCAAGGAUGUUUUCAUUAAUCAAGAACGAAAGUUGGGGGAUCGAAGAUGAUCAGAUACCGUCGUAGUCUCAACUAUAAACGAUGUCGACUUGGGAUUUCGAGACGUUACAUUUACGACUCCCGAAGCACCAUAUGUGAAAAUAAAGUUUUUGGAUUCUGGGGGGAGUAUGGUCGCAAGACUGAAACUUAAAGGAAUUGACGAAGGGCACCACCAGGAGUGGAGCUUGCGGCUUAAUUUGACACAACACGAGAAAACUUACCAGGUCCAGACAUAGUUAGGAUUGACAGUUUGAGAGCGCUUUCUUGAUUCUAUGGGUGGUGGUGCAUGGCCGUUCUUAGUUGGUGGAGUGAUUUGUCUGGUUAAUUCCGUUAACGAACGAGACCUUGACCGCUAAAUAGUUACGCGAACCUUCUGCCAUGGGGUGAAGGGGCUUGAGCGUCGUGUGCUUCACGGCCGCGGCCUCGGGCUCUGGAUCUCCUGAUGCGUUCGUGGAUAUACUUCUUAGAGGGACUUUUGGCGUUUAGCCAAAGGAAGUUCGAGGCUAUAACAGGUCUGUGAUGCCCUUAGAUGUCCUGGGCUGCACGCGUGCUACACUGAUUAAUUCAACGAGUUUAUCACCUUGGCCGAAAGGUCUGGGUAAUCUUUUGAAAAUUAAUCGUGCUGGGGAUAGAUCAUUGCAAUUAUUGAUCUUCAACGAGGAAUUCCUAGUAGGCGCAAGUCAUCAGCUUGCGCCGAUUACGUCCCUGCCCUUUGUACACACCGCCCGUCGCUCCUACCGAUGAAUGGUCCGAUGAGGACUCGGGACUGCAGCGCAAUUGCUUGGGGCAACUCGAGUAGCGCAUGUUGGAAACCUGUUCAAAUCUUAUCAUUUAGAGGAAGGAGAAGUCGUAACAAGGUA